rnacentral:rRNA from 1 species
AGUGAACGCUGGCGGUAGGCCUAACACAUGCAAGUCGAACGGCAGCACAGUAAGAGCUUGCUCUUACGGGUGGCGAGUGGCGGACGGGUGAGGAAUACAUCGGAAUCUACUUUUUCGUGGGGGAUAACGUAGGGACACUUACGCUAAUACCGCAUACGAACUACGGGUGAAAGCAGGGGAUCUUCGGACCUUGCGCGAUUGAAUGAGCCGAUGUCGGAUUAGCUAGUUGGCGGGGUAAAGGCCCACCAAGGCGACGAUCCGUAGCUGGUCUGAGAGGAUGAUCGGACACACUGGAACUGAGACACGGUCCAGACUCCUACGGGAGGCAGCAGUGGGGAAUAUUGGACAAUGGGCGCAAGCCUGAUCCAGCCAUACCGCGUGGGUGAAGAAGGCCUUCGGGUUGUAAAGCCCUUUUGUUGGGAAAGAAAAGCAGCAGGUUAAUACCCCGCUGUUCUGACGGUACCCAAAGAAUAAGCACCGGCUAACUUCGUG